ACCUGCAGGAGGGUCUGUAAGCCACACUGCCUGAGCAAUCUGAACUGUGACACCAGCUUUGGUUACUGGCACAGUCCUCCCCGUGGACGCCAGCAGCAGGGAAGCACUGACCACCUCCUGUAUUUGGCUCAUCUGUCUUCUUCCCUUUGAGUACAUCAAUAGGCACCACAAGCUCUUUGCUAUCUCACCACCAAGAUGGAGGAAGUCUGGGUUGUGUACCUCUGCCUGGUCUUGCUUAUCAUCGUGCUUCUACUAAUGAGGCAAAACCCGCAUGUGGAAGAGGCCAAGAAGGAGAGGGAAAGCAAAAGCUCCCCACCAUCCUCUUCCUUUAUUCCCAGUAAUGUCGGCAAACAACUGGAGCACUCCCAGGAAGAGCUGGAGAGCUACCUGGACAGGCUAACCCACGUCUUGUUUGACACAGAAGCCAGGAAAAGGGAUGGCCACCAUGAUCAGAAGUCCCACCAUUACCAUCACAGAAGCACUGAUGUGAUGUUUGAACCCAAGGAGCAUUCAGGAAGGGAGGCAGCACACCCCCAGCAUCUGCCGAGCUACGCAAGGGUCCAGGAGAAAACCACUCCUCCUGGAAGCACUGAGAAUAUUGUGGAAGAGAUUGAGCAAGCGGUUCAGGAGACGGUAGACACAGAUCGGUAUGUGAGAAGAAGACAGCACCCGCCUGCUUCCAGGAGAUACCGUGAGGGUUACCGGCCUGAAACAGCCGUUCAGCCUGAGACUGAUACUACUUAGAGCAGUAGCUGCUCCAGCUUCCACAACGUGUGGCAGCAGCUUGCACAACUAGUGGCAUCGCAGCCUUCCCAGAGGAGACCUGGAGUGAACCAAGGGGUUUGGUGGGGUGGGAUGGGAUCGGGGCAUCUUUAGGGGGGUACCUGGGUGAGGGGAGAAGGAACACUUGAUGUUGCAGUUCUGUUGCAGCUAAGGCAAAAAGCUUUCCCUGUGUUGGGGCCAGGUUAGGUACAUUCGCUGUUUCUUGAGAAUAAACACCUCGUUCUGUUUGUACA
rnacentral:lncRNA from 1 species